CGGCGGGCGUCCUCGCGCGGCCCGCCUCGCCCCGCGGGGGUGCCGGGCGCGCUCCCCCCACCCCCUCCUCCCUCGCGGCGGGGGGCGCGCGGCGGCCGUUGGCGCGGGGCGGCGGCGGCCGCCCCUCAGAGCGGCCGGGCGGGGGGUUGGGGGGGGGGCCGCGGCCCGGUCGCCCCCCCGGCGGCCGCCUCCGCCGCCCUUCCAUCAACACGUGCCGUGGGCGGGAGGGCUGGCGGGGCACCCCGGGAAAAAGUUGGCCGGGAGGAACUAGCCGGGCCUGCUUUUCCUCCCCCGUAGUCCCUCCGCGGGCGGGAGCGCAGGCCGCAGCCAGCCGCCGCCUGAGCGAGCUUGUCGCUAGGCUCCCCGCCCCCAGCCCCGGGACCGAGGCGUUGCCUUGCCCCGCCGCCCAGAAGGGCUCUCCCGGUGCAGAGGGUGGGGGAGCCCCUCUCGGAAAGGCCGGGAAGGUGUCGCGGAGGCACUGCUGGCCGAGCGGAGGGGGUCGAGACGUGAGAAGCGACUGAGGCUGGGCACGGCUGCAGGGCCGGGAAGCUCCAUCCAGAUGCUGGUGGAGUUGGUGCCGUGGAAAAUGGACAAGCUGCCAGGAUUCACAGAGUGAGAUCUCCCAGCAGCAGUGCAGAAGGAGCUUUAAUGACAGUAUGUCAUAUGACAAGGAGACCGCACAGUUCCCACCUGGGCUGCUGUUUUUAAUCUUUCACUCAAAAAAGUGGCAGCAGUUGUGUUGUUGACGUGGUCUUGCCUUCCACUUGUCCUGUCACUUGGUUAUUCUGCGUCACGAAUGCAAAGCCGACUAUAGGGGGAAGUGAAGAUCAUAUGGAUGAUACAAACCUACUCAGUUUCCAUUUACUGCAGACCAAAACACCCUUUAGGCCUUCAGGACACACCAGCAAUUGCCAGUGUCAAGAUGCCUGCCCAGAUAAACUUUCUAGAGAAUAACCAAUUGGGAAGCGAUCUCCACUUGUCGGUGCCAAAUAGCCACAUGUGCAUAUACUGUGGGAAACACGGGCUUGUUUAUUCUGUUGACCUCUCCACAGCCUAGUUCCGUUUUUGCGUGCUGGUAUCAGACAGGACUUGUAAAUGUUCUGUACUCCACUCCAGAGUGUUGUCAUCUCUGAAUGUAAGAUGAGAGCACUGGCUCUGCAAUAUCGUUCACAAGUGUUAUGCCCAUGGAUCGUUAGGUGAGUGCUUAGCUUGCAUACCAUCCUAUAUGGCAAAAGAGGAAGUAAAAUUUCAAACCUAUCAACUUCCCGGAGUCGUUUAAAAUGUAGGCAGUUAAAGGCACACCUACUAAGUGUAGGUGGCCAGAUACUACGGUGAUAGGCAUUUAAAAAUACAGGUCUUGUCUUACUAGACAUUUAGAAAAUUUUUUCCGAUGACCAUCAUCCCGAAAAAUCUGUCUGUUCAAAACAAAAGACAGCCUGCAAGAAAGACAAAUUCACAGCUUUCAUGCCAAGCAAUACAGAACUUGUAUGCUGAUGUUUAUAAUUUCAAAGGAAAAUAUGAGCCUGCUGUUCUUCCACUCUGUCUACUAUCAGAUUAUAGCAACAGAAUAGACACUCAAUAUGGAAGAAGAAUGCAACAUGCAUGUGUGUGCUCCCAACCAGAACCAAAGCUGUUAGAGCUAGCAUCUCUUUAAGUAAUAAUCUGUGUGGUAAUACAGCCCUGUUCUUUUCGGAGGUUGGAUAUUGAUUUAAAUCCAGUAUGCAUGAAUUUAGCAAAAGCCACUAGCCUUGAAAUUUAUUUGAUCCCUUGUGUGAAAUGGAUCAACUAUUUUCAUCCAAUUCCCGGUGAGUAAACUUGCACACUGCAGAAACUGCCAUCUCAGCUAGUACUUUUCAAGGCACUCGGGCACUGAAGAUAGCACAAGUGAUAGUCCCUGUUAGGUCAGAAAUAGUGUUGCUGGGGAUGAAGUUUGCAUUGCCAUAGCCAAUAUGCCUGUUCUCUGUGUAAAUGAGCACUGUGUAAAUACUUGUCUUAACCACAGAAUAAAGUCAGUAAAAGUAAAGUACAUUAUAACAAUAUUAGGGCUGCAGGAGACAGAACUGUGUGUUGAUCUACAAUGAUGAAUCGUAGCAACCUUAGAAAGCGUUCAGAUUGUGAUAGAUGUCUGAUGAAACAUCACAUGGAAAGUACUGGUGUCUUUCAAAACAGUGCAGUACUUAAAAUAUGUUUCCAAUUUCAUACAGGUAUAAACUGUCAUUUUCAAAACAUACAGAUUUAUGUAUGAAAACAAUAGAACUUCUGAACAGAGAGCAGCUUCUGUGACUGCUUAGGAAAUCAAUGAAGUCUCCAACAACCACCAGCCACGUGCGAUCCUUAAGAAUGCCACUUAAAAUGUCAAACCCACAUGAACUAGAAGUUGCUGGAAUUUGUAGAACUCAGACAUUUGCCUUGUAGGCAAUGGGCAUUUCCGUCUGAAGGAGUUAGAGUUUGUUAUUACCAAACCAUUCCAAAGCUCCAAACGAGGUUUAUAAGUUCUGAGAAAUGUGAUCCCUACCUGCCCCAUCUCACAGAGCUUUUUGAAGUCUACAUUAGAAAGAAAUGCCUAACAAACCCACUUAGUUGAAACCUCUACAUUCAUCAUCUGCUCAGUGUACAAUUUUUGUGUUUUUGAGGUCAGCCUAUACAUACACUGCUGUCCUUCCUGUAAGGACCAUCAGCCAUAGGUUGCAGCAGUACUUUUCUAUAGCUUUUCUUAGCAUAGUUCUUGCUGACUACACUGAAGAGCCAACACAAAGAGACAAGAGAAAGCACCAGAGAGAUAUCACUCACAGCAUGCCCCGAGACCAGAAUUCCCCACACAGUGAAAUCUCUGGCAGUUUAAAUUUUGGAACAUGAAGGAUUCUUCCAGAAUGCCAGCACAGCAUGGGAUUAAUGCAACGCUGAACCUGGCAAGACUUAGGUUCCACAGUUCCAUGGAAACCUUUUGCUUUCUGGAGCCCAGGAAGCCUUCCAGGUGAUCCUAAACUGCAGGCA